UACCUGCAGCUCGAGUGGUAACCGCUAUUAUUGGGCCUAAAGCGUCCGUAGCCGGUUUGGUAAAUAUCUGGGUAAAUCGUGAGGCUUAACUUCACGAAUUUCGGAUAGACUGCCAGACUUGGGAUCGGGGGAGGUCAGAGGUACUCCAGGGGUAGCGGUGAAAUGUUGUAAUCCUUGGAGGACCACCGGUAGCGAAGGCGUCUGACUAGAACGAGUCCGACGGUGAGGGACGAAGCCCUGGGGCGCAAACCGGAUUAGAUACCCGGGUAGUCCAGGGUGUAAACGAUGUGGGCUUUGUAUUGGAGGUCCCACGUGGGCGUCCAGUGCAGAAGAGAAGUUGUUAAGCCCACCGCCUGGGAAGUACGGUCGCAAGGCUGAAACUUAAAGGAAUUGGCGGGGAGCAUAGCAACGGGAGGAGCGUGCGGUUU
rnacentral:rRNA from 1 species